UACGUAGGUGGCAAGCGUUACUCGGAAUCACUAGGCGUAAAGCGCAGGUAGGAGGUUUGGUAAGUCUGUUGUGAAAGCUCCCGGCUUAACUGGGAGAGGUCAACGGAAACUACUAGGCUAGAGUGCGGUAGAGGUAGCUGGAAUUCCCGGUGUAGCGGUGAAAUGCGCAGAUAUCAGGAGGAACACCAGUGGCGAAGGCGGCUCACUGGCCCGGUACUGACGCUGAGGCGCGAAAGCGUGGGGAGCAAACAGG
rnacentral:rRNA from 1 species